rnacentral:lncRNA from 1 species
GCAAUCUUUACUUCUUUCCUUCAUCAAAAACUGAAAGGCAGUACCAGCUCCACCUGGCUAUCAGCUAUGUGGGAGGUCUACAAGCACCAUACUUUGUAGAUGAAAUGCAGCUGAGGAGGGUCUGCAGACUGGUGAAGAAGUAAGUGUUGCUGCUGUGUAGAGAGAGCACCUUCUACAUCUGUGAGGAAGCACUGGAGAAAGACCAGAAAAUGUUAAAGUACCAGGGGCUGGGCCUUACCUGCUGCUCAGAGACAGAUUUCAGCUACAUCAGAAGAUGUGAACAGAGUGAUAACUCUGAUCCUCAGGACAUCAGAAGAAAAAGCUGCUACCUCCUAGCAACAAUACCUUCAUAUGCUUCAAGGACAGAGAAAAAAGUAGCAGUAUUCAGGGAAUUCCUACACUCUGCCAUUUGGGAUACAUAG